rnacentral:lncRNA from 1 species
AAACCCGGACCGGACCGGCCGGUCCAACCGGUUUAACCGCGAACCGGUGGGUGGUCCGGUCUGGUUCAACCCAAAAACCCGCAAGGUGCAAAAAACCGGUUGAAUAGCUAAAAACCGGUUGAAUUACCGGUUCAACCGGAAUACCUCAAAACCGGCCAGAACCGGGUUUCUGAAAAAUAAAGAGCAGGGGGCUGAUUUCUUGCAGUGGUGGUCUGGAUCUGGAGAUUAAAAGUAAAUCUUGUAUGCCAAUGGAUUAAAAGAAGAAAAUAUAAGAAGAGUAAGCAAACGAAAACGAGAGUUAUAUGACUGGGUAGCUGAAUCUAAGGGCUUGAGUAAGAACUUGGGUGGUCGGAAAUAAGAAGAAACUUCUGGUGGCGGCUUGGAUGGUGAGUAGAU